UUCUGUCUGUAAUUCAACGUGGAAAAAAUAUUAUUGUUAUAUUUUCAUCAAUAGGGACACGUAUAUAUACAUAUAUAGGAUACUAUAAACCUAUUAGGAUGAUUCAUCAAUAGGGACACAUAUACAUAUACAAGAUACUAUACACCUAUUAGGAAUCUAACUCCUAACAGAGCUCUAUUUACAACUAGUACCCAAAUUGUUACAAAGAUAGUUAACCCGAGGUCCAUUUAGAGCUUUUGUAAAGAUAUCUCUUAAUUGUUCACUUGAUUUAACCUGCCCUGUAGAGAUAACACCCUGUUGUAUCUUUU
rnacentral:lncRNA from 1 species